rnacentral:rRNA from 1 species
UACGAAGGGGGCUAGCGUUGCUCGGAAUCACUGGGCGUAAAGCGCACGUAGGCGGAUCUUUAAGUCAGGGGUGAAAUCCCAAGGCUCAACCUUGGAACUGCCUUUGAUACUGGGGAUCUCGAGUCCGGAAGAGGUUGGUGGAACUGCGAGUGUAGAGGUGAAAUUCGUAGAUAUUCGCAGGAACACCAGUGGCGAAGGCGGCCUACUGGUCCAUAACUGACGCUGAGGUGCGAAAGCGUGGGGAGCAAACAGG